rnacentral:lncRNA from 1 species
CAGCUACAGAUACUGAGUCAAUCCCCCAAAGAGUCAGGGGGGGCUUCAUCAAGUAGAAAAAGCUAGAGAACAUCCCUCAAAAUAAUUCCCAGUGACAUGCUAUAGCAUCCAGGCUUUUCCUCUUGGAGCCAGAAGGAAGAGGGAAGGCAAUCCCAGAAAGGGGAACAGCAGGCGCAAAGACUCAAAGACUAGGUCCUGGAGACUCAGAGUUGGGGAAGGGUCUUUCUUCCACGAGGAUCGGAGGCCAAAAUCAUUGGGAUUCCACCACUGCCUUCUCUACUACACCAAUUGUCUUGAAUCCCUACUGGUCCAGCAAUUCCAUUCCAUUCCAUUCAGCACUCUGCUUGGGGCUGAGGAUACAGACAAAGAGGGACCAGCCUCCAAGGAGCUCACGUGGAGGACAGAGAAGAGGAGGACCACAUAUCCAAACAAGUAAGUCUCAAAUCUGUACAAGAUAAUGACAUACUAAUUAAAAGCAUGUAAACUGUCUGAGAACAAAGAUUGUG